UAUUAAAGAAGACUUUUAUUUUGGUGUUUGGGUGUGAUGUCAUAAGGCUGCAUCUGGCUUCUGCGUCUGUGAUUCGGUUGAAGAAAGGUUUGUGUUUAAUUUUGUGCUAACAAUGUAAAAUUACUUGUAAGCCUGUAAUGAGUCAUUUAACGUAAGUGCUCAUUAUUCGUGAGAGUAAAGUGCAUCAGCAACUGCACAAGAAAAGCUGCUUAUUUCUUGUUUUGGGAUUCAACAGACUAAUCAACAAUUUAAUGUAACGGAAUAAAAAAAUGUCAGGCUUAUUUCGAUUGAUCUGACUUGUCAAAUGAUUUGGUUUUAUAAAACAAUUUUAAUAUAGCCCAAGCUCAGUCACUGUGGAAACAUGCUGAGAAACAAACCUGGUCCGAGGCAGGCUAAAGAUGGCGUUUAUUAAAGAGGAGAGUGACGACUGGAAGAUUGAAGAUGUGAAGAUUGAAGACGUAUUCAGAGUGAAACAAGAAGAUACUGAGAAACAAAGAGACCGGAUUGAGGAGAGUCAAGAACUGAAAGAUACGGAAGGGAAAGAGCAGAAUGAGAAAUACUGUGUUUU